AUGUUUUUUGAUAAUUUUGGUUAUUGAUUUUUAUUUCUAUUUGAAGCAUGGGCACAUCAAAGGCAUAAUUAUAUAAUUAACACUUUCUAAAGUUUACUUAUAAUGGUUUAGUGGUCAUAAAUACAGCUUUUCAAAAUAGUAAAAAGUAAAAUACAACUAUGUGUCUCUUUAUAUCUCACCUGUCCUGUGUUUAAUGAGGUUUCUCUGUAAUGGUUUAAAUUGCAGUAAUACAUUGGUAUACUAGUACAGGCUCAUUAUUUCAUGUUCUGUAUUUAUUAAUGUCAGUGUUUCCCACACAUAGACUUAUAUUUUGAAAGACAUUUUUGCUUGUAUUAUUUUUAUCCUCUAAUACUUUUGUGUCUGCCCGAGAUAAUGAAACCAUCUGCAAUCGAUUAACUAGUGGAAAAUCUCCCCUCGCCCUACACAUUUCGUACAUGCUCGUUCUGUGCUGACAUUCCCAUGUGCGCUGCAGAGACGCGGUGGAUAUUUCACAAAGGGCUCGACAGUGCGGGCGCUUCUGUGUGCAAACUGUAAAAUGUAUUUAGGAGCAUGUGUGGGAAUAAAGCAAAAUCCCUCCAGGUAAGUUUCCUUAAAUUUAAUGUCAUGAAAACUCUUCAAUACAUUAAAUGGUAAAACAAACAUCUUAAUGAUCAUUUCAAUACGUCUUAUAUUUUGGGAAUGGAAAAACAUUAAUAAUCAAUAGGCUGUAUCGUGAUUUAACUUCAAAAAGCUAUGAUUUCAUUUAAAAAAAAAUAAAUAAAAAGAGCACUGCACGUUGCAAAAUCACAAGGCGACGCUUUUGCGCGUUCUACAGGCUUGCGCAAUGGCGCUUCAGACUGCUUCAAAGUGUUUCCCAAUCAAUGAAUAGCGCACAUUUAUGCCAAGCGAUUUCUAAUGAACUCGAGUUGAUGAAUUAUGACAAUGUCUGCUUUACGGCCUUUAUAUAUGUCAGGACACAGACAGAGGCAGAGGGGUAAGUGAACACAGAUGUUUAUUGAAUAGAGGCACGAACACAGGUAAACGGUGGAUGCAGGUGAGUCAAUGAACAAGCACUUUCAGAACAGUCACUUAGCUGAAGGAUAACAGAGGUUUGUCUUUGCAGGUGGAGGAAUCAACGUGGAGCGGAGAACAGGAGAUGGAAGACAACUGGAUGAAGACACGGGUAACUCAGGUAAGUAGCGGGUAAGGAGUCCAGGUACGUGAGACAAGACCAGACAAUGAUGUGAAGGGAUUGAGUGUCUUUAUAGUGUCCUAGAUGAUGUUGUGCGGGUGCAGGUGAUUAGUACUCGGGAGGCUGUGAACGAGUGGGUGGAGCGUGAAGAUCUGGUGACGAUGCGUUGGUGUUGGUGGGUGUUGGCUGUAACUCCGUGACAGUACCCCCCCUCCACGGGCGGCUCCUGACGACAGGAUGGGGCGACGACGACGGGGUCUACCUCGACCCCGGGGAGCAGGGCGGUCCGGAUGUUCAGCGUGAAAUUGAGUGAGGAGCGAGGGGUCGAGGAUGUCGUGAUGGUUGACCCAGGAAUGUUCCUCUGGGCCAAAGUCUUCCCAGUCGAUGAGGUAAUCAAUCUGGGGACCCACACUCUCUCGCUCUGCUGGAACCAGUGGUUGACAGCUGGAACCUCUGAGGGCUCACCAGACCAGAGGAAGAGAGGUGGUUGGUAGCCCAGGAUACACUGGAACAGGGUGAGCCCUGUGGUGGUCUGCCGAAGGGAAUUCUGUGGGAAGGCCCUUGAGGGGUAUGAGUUUACAAGCCUUGGAGAAUCGGUCCACGAUUACCAGCACACAGGUGAAGUUGUUUGAUGGUGGUAAGUCUGUCAUGAAGUCAUUUCCCAGGUGUGUCCACGGUCUGCGAGGUAUAGGUAAGGGAACCAGUUUACCCUCAGGAAGCCUCCUAGGAGUGUUGGCAACGGCACAGUCUGAGCAUCCUCCGAUGUAGCGGGAGACAUCCUGAGUCAUGGAGGGCCACCAGUAGUGUUGCAGCAGGAGCAAGAGGGUACGUGAACUGCCUGGGUGUCCAGAGCCCAAAGGGGUUGAGCCCAUUGCAGCGCUCGUCCAGAGAGCAGGGAGACUACGAACGCCACCCGGGAUCGCUCGGAUGAGAAGAGUUGAGACUGGGCUUCCAGAUAGAGCAAGCACUGAAGGAGAAACCCACUGCAAUACUCAGCCUUGCCGGAGGAUGUCGCUGGUCGGGCCAUGGGACUGACAGAGGCAGCUGGAGAAGAAGCAGCGGGUGCUGGGUGAAGGAGUGCAUGGCGGACGGCGUGCAGGAGAUCAGCUGGGACUGUGGGUGAUGUGCUUGUGACAGGCUGUUGUAGUGAGGAUCGUACUGCGUCGACCAGGGUGGUAAACGGGUCCGGAGUAUGAUCCCCGCCUGUGUCCAAGGUGCUCUGCAUAAGGUCUGGUCUUCUGUCAGGACACAGACAGAGGCAGAGGGGUGGAGGAAUCAACGUGGAGCGGAGAACAGGAGACUGAAGACAACUGGAUGAAGACAUGGGUAACUUGGGUAACUUAAGUAAGUAGCGGGUAAGAAGUCCAGUUACGUGAGACGAGACCAGACAAUGAUGUGAAGGGAGUGAGUGUCUUUAUAGUGUCCUAGAUGAUGAUGUGCGGGUGCAGGUGAUUAGUACUCGGGAGACUGUGAACGAGUGGGUGGAGCGUGAAGAUCUGGUGACAAUGCGUUGGUGUUGGUGGGUGUUGGCUGUGACUCCGUGACAAUAUAAUAAGUCUAAGACGGUUGUAUGAAUGCAUAUUUUAUCUCUCAUCUGAAGGAUCUGUCCGCAAUAGUAUAGACAUUUCAAAAUAAGAGUCCCGGUGUAUUUUGACCUUGUUUAUAAUUAAAAGUCUUUGUUUUUUUCUUCUUCUUCUGGGCAUUGUUGGUAUUUUGGUUACACAAUAAAUUGUAUUUAAUUUAAUUUCCAUUUAAUUCAUAGUAAAUUAUUGUAGUUUCUGUCUGGGAUGCCCCCCAUAGGAAGAAAAGACUAAAAACAUUAUUUGACACAUAUUAUUAAUAUAUAGAUUUUACUAGUGUCAGUAAAAUCUGUGUCCCAUUCACUGAGAGACACUAUAUGACAAAUCAAGGAGAACUCUACCAUUUAAAUGCUGUAAUUUUGCAUAAUUUACAAUGCAUAAUAUUGCAUAAUAUUAGUAUGUAAUUAAAUGUAAUAGUAGCCUAUAUAAUUGAAAUUAAUUAAUUCAUUAUUUAUUAAUUUAAUGUUCAUGUUUUGUUAAUUGUAAAAAUAAAUAAAUAAAUAAAUAAAUAAAUAAAAAUUACUAUGUGUUUCUCUGUUUUUACUGAAGCUCAACCCACCGACAUGAGCACACCAUAUUACCAGACACAGAGUUCGUCAGCAGAUUUGCACUGUUGUAUUGAUGCUUUUUGAUAAUUUUGGUUAUUGAUUUUUAUUGAUUUUAUUUUAUUUAUUUUUAAAUGAAGGUAUGUAUAAUUUCUUUCUUAUUAGUUAACAUUUAGUUAAGCAAUUUAAUUUGACUAAUUUUACUACUUUAUGGUUUAGUGGUCAUAAAUACAGCUUUUCAAAAUUGUAAAAAAAAAAAAAAAAUAAAAUACAGCUAUGUCUCUUAUAUCUUACAGAAACACAAACCCCCAACAUGAGGGGUUUGAGCUUCUAUUAGAUAUACAUGUAUGCAAAUAUGUAUUACAAGACACACAGAGAGUAAGUCAGUGGAUUUACAGUUUUGUAAUAAUAUAUUAUUUUGGAUAUUAAAGUAACAGCUUGCUUAUUUAUUUAUUUAUUUAUUUAUUUCAAUUUGAAAUGAACAUUACUAGCCCCAUAUAUGGCCACAUAUAUGACCACAUCAAAGGCAUGUCUAAUUUACUUCUUAUUGGUUAUUAGUGUUUCUAAAUUACAGUGAGACCUACACAACACAGUCAAUCUGGUAAAACAUCUCAUGUGCCCUGUGUCUCUCAAAACCUGUGAGUGUAACAGUAUAUUUUUUUCUGUACAUACAUGUUGAUUGUGUUUGCUUUCAGAUUUUGCUGCAGAUCAUCAUAAGGAAGGAGUAUAUUUAUUCUACAUCUGCUUUUCCUCCUUCAUUGCUGUUGGUCUCACCAUCAUGACUGUGGCACUGAUCGUCAGGAGAAAAGCUAAAAGUUCAGUGACUGCUGGGACAGAUAAUACUUUACUGAUAUAUGAGAACACAUCAGAGUUUCUGAAGAGGAAAGAAGAGGCAACCGAUCAAUUAAUCAAUUUAGACUGAUCCAAUAAUUUUCUGCAUGCUGAACUGUAACACCCUUUCAACAUAAAAGUAAAAUGCCUAUUAUAUUCAUUUUAUCUACAUCUUAUUUUAAUCAUGUUCAAAAUUGAAGGUUACUUUUACUAAAGUACAAUUAAUAACCAUGAAUUAAAUCUCUAUACUCUACUGUUGUACAAUUACACUUUUUCCCUAGCUUUUUAUUAUUCUGGUUUACUCUUGAAGUUCUGUAUUGCAAAUAUUUGUGGCUUUUGCAUUUAGCUUUUUCUUCUUCUUUGUAAUGGCGCUUUUCCACUGCAUGGUACGGCUCGGUACAGCUCACUGUUGGGGGGUUAUCCACUGUGUACAGUACCUCUCUACCUGGUACUUUUUUAGUACCACCCUGGUUGAGGUUCCAAGCCAUACCGAUUAGGGGUCAACCAAUUAUCGGCCUGGCCGAUUAUCGGUGCCAAUAUUCAGCAUUUUUAUGGUUAUCGGUCAUUUUCAAAACCGAUUUGCCGAUAGAAUAAUUUAAUUUUGAAAUGUGCUAUUUGGCUCUGAUGUAGCUACCUCUGUCGGAACUCACCAAGAUCAAUGUCUGCCCACCGCCCAUCAGAUUUGUUGGGAGUCACGAGUCCGGCCAAUCAGCACAGAAGGCUAAAGGCACUGAAAUUUUUGUACUCUCACAGAGCCCUUGUUAUUCUUAAUUUUGACGUUUUCAUUUUUACACCAGACAUAUAUAUAUAUAUAUAUAUCGUUCCAAAAUAUCGGUUAUCGGUCUACUUGAUCUGUAAUAAUCGGUAUCGGCACUGAAAAACAUAUAUUGGUCGACCCCUAAUACCGAUACUAAAAUGUGACGUGUAAACACAGCAGAUCACUAGCUAUGUUUCCAUCACCCUGUUUUUAUGCACAUUUUAAAGUAUCGCAUCAGAAGCAAGUGAUGGGAACGCCAAAUUUGUCUUUUUUUCUUUUUUUGCGAACUUUGAAAAGAUUCACUUCAGAUUUGGAUGAAAAUCCCAGCUACUGAUUGGUCAGAGAGAAUAGUCACUACCAGCAUCAAUGGAUUUGAAACACUAGACACCAAACCAACUAGAUUUAAUUAGUCAGCAACAGCCACCACAGUAUAAUUUGUUCGCACAACUUUUUUAAACGACUUGCUUUAAACGACCAUUGCAUGCAACUUGAAAAAAGAAAUGGCUGUAUCGUGGUCAGUAGACUCGUUGGUAGCCGAGUAAGUGCCAGACUCGUUGGUAGCCGAGGAGCGGAUCCACAGCAAUAGAGGCAGCGCAACUAUAACAAUCAGUCUAUAAUCCCACCCACUUUGAAGCACUACUAAACUGCAGUGGAAAAGUAAACUGAGCCAAAGUAAAGCAAGCCGAGCCGAGUCAUACCACACAGUGGAAAAUUGGCUUCAGUAAUUUAUAAGUGGGUGCAAAAUCAAUAAAUACCUUUUUACCAACUAUGCAUUUUACAUAAAUUCAUAUUUUAUGUUCUUAUGUGUGUCUUUACAUAUUUAUAUUUGACAUGCUUUCUACUAGAUCUGUUAUAAUAUUACUACUACUACUGUUAUUACAAAAAUCUGAAAAAACUUUCUUGUCACUUGCAUUUUCGAUUGUACUGCACAAUAAAAAAGUAAGA